UGGUCCUUCAGCCUGACAACUACAGAAUCCUGAGACUUCAGUAGUUUUCUAGCCACUGUAGUCACCAGUUUGGUGUCUAGAGGCAGGAAGGCAAAUGAAAAUUUCACAUUGUUUGAUAAGUUCUUCAUUGCAGGCUCUACUAAAAAGGUGGAGCUCUGCAUCAGGAGAAUUGGUUUUUUUUGAAUAUGGACACGACUAAGGAGGAAGAUGUAGGACAAGAAAAUCGAACCGUGGUUUACCAAGGUGCUGUGGUUAUCCAAAGAGGGUGGAAAAGAAAGAAACGUUAUCUGACCUUGUUCGAUGACAUUUUGGUGGUAUCCAGUAAACUAUAAGUAUACGCAUCAUGCUUUCCUUACUAUAAGAGGCUACUCAGUGGAAAGCCCUUAAGAAAUAAGAAAUUUAAGAUAAAACAUGUCAUUUUACCACAACACAAACUACAAUGCAAAUUAAACUAACAGAUAUUUGAUUCUCUUUAUAGAAAUAAGAAAUUUAAGAUAAAACAUGUCAUUCCAUUGGCUUACCUGUGGAUUGGUGAUGAAGUGGAUGCAUUCAGGUCAGACAACAUUGUUGCUUCCAAGUCCAUUUACCUAUACUGGCCGAUGGGACAUAUUGUUGCCACCUUUUGAUCCAUUCGUGAAGCCAAGAAACACAACAAAAUGGAACUUCCCAUGCAGAUAUUCACUGAGGACAUUGCAGGCUGUGACACUGUAUGUGAAUACAAAACCAAAAUAAUAUUCCAUGUUCAUGACUAGGAGAGAGACAGUUAGUAAAGUAAUGGAAGAUGGAGACAUAAGAAGAGCAUGGAUGGGGAGAGCGGGACAGAGGGAGAGAGGGACAGAGGGACAGAGAGACCGAGGGAGAGAAUUUAGACAGUAUUGUGUGGAACUAAUUAAAUUAUUUUACAUUAAAUUAUAUUACAUUAUAUCUGUAGUCAAUGCAGACAUAGGACUCUCAUAUGUGAUGUGUAGAGAGCAACAUGAAACAAGACUGAUUCACGUACUAGAGAUCCAAAAAGAGGAAAUAUUUUUGUUAUAUCACUGAAAAUUGAGCCAAAUAUUUCCAACAGCAUAUAUUUCCAAGUGAAGUAUUAUUAGUAGAAUUAAACUGCCCCUUCCUGAGUCCUUAUUGCUUAUAUAUAGAUUUGUGUGUUGUUUCCACUAUUCUUAUUCAUUUUAAAAUAUUUAUGUCUAAUAAACAAUUUUUAUUAUAUAAUAUUAUCAUAAAGCAUUACAUUUUCUCUCCAUACCUAAGUUUUCAAUGAUAUAUUAGCUCUUUAUCUCCAUUCUGUGCUCUUUCUCUAAGUCUCUUACUAUGCAUCCUUAUACCUUCCUCUGAGUACCAGCUACAAAGUUAUGGCUUUCAUCCUCAUGUUUAUUUGAAUAAUCUAGUCAUGAGGGUAUCUUUGUAUGUGUCUUCUGUUCAGAAAUUACCUUUAUAAAUUUAAAAGUGGUAUGUGUGUGUGUGUGUGUGUGUUUGUGUGUGUGUGUGUGUAUGUGUGCAUGUUCAUCUUUGUGUAUGGUGUUUAGGAUAAAACUCACAACCUCACAAUACUGUACAGUAGUUCUAUCAUUGAGGUAAACAUAAAUAUCUAUUGAAUAAUUGUCUAUUUUUCUCAGGCUUAUAUUAUUGUCCACUUUCCAGUAUUGGGUUUAGUGCAGAUCAAAAAUGUAACUACUAUGUAACAUGUAGAGCAUUGAAGACAUUUCCUGCUGUAAAGCAGAAUAGACUGUGACUCAGGGAUCACCACCUCUCUGCCUUUCAUAAAUACUAAUGGGUACAAAAUGGACCUAGAGUCAGUGUUCUAACAUGUCACUGUGGACACUGCACUAGACUUACAAAGGGGAAUAUAAUGAAGAUAUUUUAGAUCACCAAGCAAUUUCUUACUCAUACCAGGUCCACAUUACACAAAACAGUAACUAA